rnacentral:piRNA from 1 species
UGUAAUACAUUGGCAGAAUGAAGGCCCCA